AUGUAAGGCCAAUUUCUCCUUAGUAUUAUGAGAAUAAAAAAGAUUACUUUUGAUUUUAAGUUUUUAAUGUAUAUGAAAAUCCCUCAGCUUCUCAGUGAUGAAGAGAUUAAAAAAGAAGCAGAGCAACGGACACCGAUGGGGCGCGUUGGAGAGGCAAAUGAAGUCUCACCGCUUGUAGCGUUUCUCUGUCUUCCUGCAGCUUCUUAUAUUACUGGUCAGACCAUUUGUGUUGAUGGAGGUCUCACUGUUAAUGGCUUCUCCUAUCAGCCACAGGCUUGAGCUAGGUCUUAUGUUGUGUGUGUUGUCCAAUGAAAACAGUUAAAAAAGAAAAUAGCAUCGGUGCUAGUGCACAAAACAUAUGAGGGUCUUAAUUAAACAUAUAUGAUACUAUACUUUCUUUUUUUUUUUUUUUUUUUUUUUUUUGAAUAAAAUGUAAAAUUUAUUCGAAAAAAUCGUUUGUACAUCAAGUGCAACUGUAGCUUAAAGCUUGUUGGCUUUACAUUUGCUAAAUGGUCAAAAGGAAAACAAGAGCAUUCCUAUCUUGUAUCAAACCAGGUUAUCAUGCAUCUCUCAUAUCUUCCGUCUCCUUUGUCUCUAAUGGUAGAGAGCUUGUUUCGAACCUCCUUGUCAAGCCUUUUUAGUAAAAGGGCUGAUGGAAGUGGUUCUUCGCCAUGUCUUCUGCUAUUCCUUUCUUUCCAUAUCGAGUACACUAGAAUUUGGAAAGCAUAUCUCAACAAAAAUAAACGAUUGUUACCCAAUGUCUUGUCCGUGAGGAGUUUGAGUAUGGUAGUCCAAUCCGUAGAGUAGUGUCUAGUUAGCAGCUUUGAGGUGAGCCCUGACCAGACUUCUCUUGAGUAUCGACAUGUGAAGAAUAGGUGAUUCCUAGUUUCCGUUUGCUCUUGGCAGAACACACAUGAGAGAUUAACCCCAGCAUUCCAACUCAUCAUUCUGUCUCCCGUUGAUAAUCGGUUCUUUGUUGCUAGCCAAGUUAUGAAGGAGUAUUUUGGGGUGGCGUGUGAGAACCAUAUACCCUGAUACCAUUCAUUACGUGGCUUUUGUUCACGAGUGUCAGCCCAUGUUUCUUUGGUGCUGAAGCUAGGCUUGAACCGGCCUCCUUUUCCUUUCCAAAGGACCACAUCCUCUGUUUCUACAAGUCCCUUAGUGCGCAGCUCUUCUAACUGUGCUUCCAUUUGGUUAAGAUGAUCAGCUCGGUGCCUCCUUCGUCUAUGUGUUAAUGCUUCUGCUACAGUGGCAUGUAUAUCAAUUCCCAUGUCAAUGCAGCCCCGUGUUCCCGAAAUCGCAAUCAACGGGCCUAGAGGUGACCAGUUAUCAUGCCAAAAGGAGACGCCCUUUCCAUUGCGGAUCUCAUACUGUGUAAAACCGGAAGCUAAGUGACGAUACUUUAGUAGCUUCCUCCACAUCCAAGACCCUAACGUUGAUGUGUCUCUUAGCGACCAGAAUGAACCCUUACGUAUCACAUAUUGCCUUAGCCAUUGUACCCACAGCGAGCUUGAUGACAACAGUCUCCAGAUAAGUUUUAGGCAACAAACCUUGUUUGCUUCUGUUAAGGAACGGAGCCCCAGCCCUCCCUCUUCCUUUGGCAUACAUACAUCGUUCCAUGAUACUUUAGCUUUUUUUCUAUUUAACUCGGGGCCGGACCAAAGAAAAGCAGAGCACAAGCCAUCUAUCUCUUUGAUGCAUGCAUUCGGUAGCCUAAAAGCGGACAUCCAAAAGUUUGUGAGACUAUGGAUCACUGAGCUUAUGAGUUGUAAACGCCCUGCGAAUGAAAGGUGUCUAGCCGUCCAGCAACUAAUUCGUUCUCGGAUUCUUUCAAUGAGAGGGAUAUAGUCACUUGUCGUCAUUCUUUUGGUUAAUAGUGGUAAGCCAAGAUAACGAACUGGUAGGGUACCUGAUUCAAAAGGAAAGGAGUAUAGAAUUAAUUCCUUGUCACUGUCUCUGACUCCCGCCAUAUAUAAUGUUGACUUCUCAAGACUGAUUUUUAAUCCAGAGAAUUUUGCAAAUUUAUCAAAGGUCUGCAAAACGCUUUCAAUAGAUCUUUUUUUUCCAUCUGUGAAUAUCAAUAGAUCGUCUGCGAAACACAAAUGUGUGAGCUUCAGAUUUUGACAUCGAGGAUGGUAGCCUAUGAUUCUCUCCAAGGCAGCGUUGUCAAGCAUUGUGGACAGAACUUGCAUACAGAUUACAAAGAGGUAGGGAGAUAAUGAGCAUCCUUGUCGAAGACCCCUCUCGCUUCAAAACAGACCAGACAAUUCACCAUUAACCUGUACUGAGAAGGAGGCGGUGGUAAUACAGAGCUCAAUCCAUUUUAUGAAUCGUGGUGGAAAAUUGAGGGCUGAUAGUGUAGUUAAGAGAAACGGCCACUGAACCGAAUCUAACGCUUUUGAUAUAUCAAUCUUUAUUGCACUCCGGGAAGAGAUCGUGUCUUUGUGGUAGUCUUUAACUAUUUCUGAUGCCAAUAAUACAUUUUCCAUCAAAAGACGAUCUUUAACGAAAGCCGACUGGUUUGGAGAUAUGAACUCCGGGAGCAGUCUUUUGAGUCUAUUUGCUAUAAUCUUUGAUAUGACCUUGUAUAUCACGUUGCAGCAAGAAAUUGGCCUAUAAUCCUUCAUCUCCGUGGCCUCUUUCUUUUUUGGUAUGAGCGCUAAGAUUGUAGUGUUUACUCCCUUAGGUAUAAAGCCAUAUAAAAAGAAAGAUUGUACUGCAACUUCAAAAUCUUUCUUUACUAUUGGCCAUGCUUCUUUUAAAAACAUCACAGUAUAUCCAUCCGGCCCCGGACUUUUAUCCCUUGGCAUGGAGAAUAAUACUUCCCUGAUUUCCUCUAUAGAUACAUCGCUUUCAAGCUGCAUCCCAUCUGCUUCGGAACAUCUGUAUUUCACUAAAUCUCGUAUCUCUUCCUCUGAUAUACCCUGGUAGUGAGCUGGUUUGUGAGCCAAAAAAUCAUGGAAAAAUCUUUCAGCCUCUUUCUUGAUCUCUUCUUGAGUGUUGACUAUAGUACCAUCAGGGCAUUUGAUUUCUUUAAUCGCAUUACGAACUUCCCUAACCUUUGCAGCCUUGUGAAACACCUUAUUAUUACCAUCUCCAACUUUCAACCAGUGAAGUUUUGAUUUUUGUUUCAGCACUUUCUCCUCCAAGUCCGACAAAUGCAACCAACGACUGUGGGCUGCAGCUUCUGCUUGCAUUGUCGUAUUUGUUGGAUUUUGCAUCCAAGAAAAACAUGUUACUGACACCAAUUUCCCAUUAUUUAUUUUGCUUAUGCAGAGGUAUUAUAUAUAUGUAAUCUCCAAGUGAAUCAUGAGAAUGUUCUUAGACUUCUCUACUAUCUUAGAGAUUAGUUCUCGUCUAAAUCCUAACUAAGAUAAAAAUUAGCAUAGUUGUUAAAUCCAAGACGUGCCAUACCAAAAGAACUAGCUGGUUUUGUUAUUAGGAAUCUCACAUUUAUAUAUCAAGAGAGCAACGGCCUAAUCCUCAGAAUCUCUCCCUUCUUGCUUCUUCGUUUAGAGUGUUCCAAACUCAGUAUUACUACUCUCCUGUAAUAUGCUCUGUUCUAAGUCUUUUUGUUGGCGUAACUCAUGUUAGGAGGCACCAUAUAUUUCGGCUGCAGGUUCCAUCGUUUUGGAAUGCAGUAUUUUUAUAAAAAGGUAUUUGAUAUAUAAAAAAAAGAUGUGAUAGAGAGAUUUCUUUCUUCUUUAGUGGAUUUCAGAGGGCAAAACGCAAAAACCAAUUGGCUUUGGCUCAUGGGGUUCUUCCCGUUAGAGAGGAUCAUAUAUAUUCCCAAUUGUAAAGUCGAUGAACCCUAUUGGGUCUAGGGUUAUGAUUCCACAAGAAGAUCCACAAGCUUCUUCUACUCCAAAGCCAAUUGGCAAACAAUAGCAUAACUCAGGCUUCUUAUAUACCAGAUUAAAUUCUUAUAUGUUUCCGAUGUGGGACUCAUUAAGGUUAAUUUUCUUGCCGAUAUUAUUUUUACACGUUCACGUAACUUAAACCUCAAGUAAUUUGUAUUGCCCUAAGGUGAGACCAAAACCUUUAGUGGGCUUAUGGGCCAAAAUAAGCCCGCUUGAUAAGAGAAGCUUCCGCUAAAAACUAGGUCUGGGCUUUCGGUUAACUGUUCGGUUAUCGGUUGGGUCCAUUCGGUUUCGGUUCUUUCGGUUCUAAAAUUUAGUAUCCAUUCGAAUAUUUUGAAAUUUCGGUUCGGUUUCGGUUCGGUUCCGGUUCUUUCGGUUUUAAAAUUUAAGGGGGUUAUUGGAUCAUUGAUUUGAAUGGAUUUGGAAAUCCAAGUAAAAUUAUGUGUUAUUCAAUCAUUGAUUUUAAAUUUUUUAUAAAAAUCAUGUGUUAUUGGUUCUAUGAUUUACAAAUACUUUUUAAAAUCACCCCAUAUUCAAUAUUGAAGAUUUGAGUAUGGAUUUGACUUCAUAUUGGAUUUGAAUGGAAUUGAAUAUAUGUUUUACUUAUAAAUAGAGUGAUUGAAAUCCUUGGGUUCCACCUAGUUAUUUGGGUGGAUUUGGAAGAAAACAAUAUUAGCAGUUUCUAUUUUCCUUGAUUUUUUAAUUAUCAUGUCAUUUACUUGUAAGAAAAGUUUUACGAGUUAUAUUUUUUGUGUCACAGGUGUACAUCAUCAAACAUGGAUCAAGCCCAUCAUGGAGAUCAAGAAGUCCUUGAAGAAAGAGAAAGAAAUGCAUUACAUGAUGACGAGUUGGAUGCUGAUAUUAUUUUGUUGGUGCUAUUUGGAAGACACCAUUCGGUUAUUUUGCUUAGAAUAUUUUCGGAUAUCUCGGUUAUUUUUGAGUAUUUUCGGAUAUUUUUGGAUAUAUUUCGGUUAUUUUCGAGUAUUUUUACUACUUUUAUAAAAUUUUCAAGUAUUUUUGAUUAUUUGAUCUAUAAAUAACUAAUUAUUUUGAAAAUAUAAUUGUAUUUCGGGUAUUUCGGUUACCCGAAAGAUUUCGAUUCGGUACCGAUUCGGUUACGGUUAUUUCGGUUAUAAAAUUUAGUAUCCAUUCGGUUAUUUUCAAAUGUUCGGUUCGGUUAUUUUUGCUUCGGUUUCGGUUCGGUACAUUCGAUUCGGUUUAUUUGCCCAGGCCUACUAAAAACCCAUGCACGUAGCUUUCUCUGUUUCUCCACUUCGUUGGAUCAAAUUCAAUAGAAUGAAACUGAUCCUGAAGAUUUCUUGGUGAAUCCUAAUUAAACGAAUUGAUUUUAGAACUAUGAAUGGAGCUACGCAAUAAUAUAGUUGUCUUGAUUAAUAUUACAAUAUACAAAAAAAUGAUUUGAAAUAGAAAGCUUGAUCAGUUGGCAACUUUGGAUUUUUAGGUCAAGCCUUAAAACUACAUUCAUUUUGGGACUAAGAAACCUAACCAGAAGAUGUUUCUGGUAAGAGACUAAGAGUAAGCCUAGCAGUAACAGAACAGACGAAAGCAGAGAAGAGCACAACUUGGACUCAAAUGAGAAGAUGGACUUCGAAACUCAUCGCCUAUCAUGCCCAAAGACAGAAUCAUGUGGCAUUACACCAUGCUUUAAAUAUUAAAAUCCCUAUGCAAUGAUGACUCAAUGGACAUCUUCUCUCUCUUACUACUACAUAAAUUCUCAUCCACACAUACAAACAUACUCAAUAUUUCACACUUAUCUGAUCCCAUACUCAAUAAUUCAUUUCUAUAUAUAUAAUAUGUGGCAUUUCUGGUCCCUGCUAGUAACAACCAAGAAAAAUGGAUAAAAGAUGGAGUCUUCAAUGUAUGACUGCUCUUGUCACCGGUGCAGCCAGCGGAAUCGGGUUCGUCUUACUUCUCUGUUCUCUAUAUCAUAUUUUUAGCUCAUUGUUCUGCUUAUAUUUCACAUCCUAAUUUUCAAGAAAGUAAUUUAUGUUUCUGAAAAUGUUUUAGAUAUGCCAUAGUAGAGGAGUCAGCUGGUUUUGGAGCUAGAAUCCAUGUAUGCGACAUCUCUGAAACUCUUCUCAAUCAAAGUUUAAGUGAAUGGGAAAAGAAAGGGUUUCAAGUGAGUGGUUCAGUCUGUGAUGUAACUUCUCGUCCCGAUAGAGAAAAACUGAUGCAAACCGUUUCCUCGCUGUUUGAUGGCAAACUCAACAUUCUUGUAAGUAAACGAUCUUAUAGAAAUGCCAAGCAUAGUUGUUUAAAUGGAGCUCCUUAAAAUAAAUCUUAAUAUAUAGGUAAACAAUGUUGGUGUACUUCGCGGGAAGCCAACAACGGAAUAUGUGGCAGAUGAUUUCUCUUUUCACAUCUCAACAAAUUUGGAAGCUGCUUUCCAUUUUAGCCAGCUUUCACAUCCUCUCUUAAAGGCUUCAGGAUUUGGAAGCAUCGUCUUUAUGUCCUCUGUCACAGGGAUUGUAUCAGUUGAAUGUGGAUCCAUUUAUGGUCUAACGAAAGGUAACCAAGUUGCUACUAGAGGAAGUUUAUUGCAAGACUGACUAGUCAAGAAGUAGUUUUCAAUUUUUGUUUUUUUUUUUCUGUUGAUUUCUUUUAUAGGAGCUUUGAAUCAGUUAACUAGAAAUUUGGCAUGUGAAUGGGCAAAAGAUGGCAUAAGAGCCAAUGCUGUUGCACCUAAUGUUGUCAAGACUCCUCUGUCUCAAUCUGUAAUAAAAAAAAGACAACAUUUACUCUUUUUUUUAUGUGAAUGUAAUUAAUCUCAAUUCCUCUAAUUAUUUCUUAAUUGUGUGUUCUUGAAGUAUCUCGAGGACGUCGGUUUCAAGGAGGCAUUAUUUGGUAGAACUCCACUUGGUUGCGCUGGAGAGCCGAAUGAAGUUGCAUCACUAGUGGUCUUCUUGUGUCUACCUGCAGCUUCUUAUAUUACUGGUCAAACCAUUUGUGUUGAUGGAGGCCUCACGGUUAAUGGUUUCUCCUAUCAACCACAGGCUUGACGCUUGAGAAUGGCUUUGUGCUCUCAAAGUUCUAGAUCUAAUAUAAAUUGUCACUCUAUGAGUUUAUACACGUAAACAUAAAUGAGUUUGCAAUUCCAUUUUGGAGAUGCUAAUCUCGCUUAGAUAGAAGAUUCGAGUACACCUGCAACACCAACAUCUUGUGGCAAUGUUUCUCUCAUAAAUCAAAAUGUUAUAUGUUUCAAGUCAUCUAUAUACGUCCCGAUGCAAAAUAACUGGAUACAAAUAUCUGAGAAAAAAAAUUGAGAAUUGUAGCAAUGAUAGGAUAUAUUACCGUCUAUGUCACUGAUUUUAAAUGUUAAUUGUAAUACAACAUGAUUAAUAUUGUACUUAUUUUUUGUUGUUGUUGCUCCGUCUAUUUCACUGAUUAUACUUAUUUAUUGUUGUUGUUCCGUGUAUGUCGUGUUUUAUCUGUUUGUCUUAAACUUCGUGUUUUAUUUUGUGAUGUAUUUGAUUCUACACGACAAGAAUGACCUUGUCCAGUUUCUUGUGAUUUGUUUGAUUAUUUCUCUAUUACAGUAAUCCCACUUGCGAAUAAUUCGCGAGCAAGGCACGAACCUCCAUACCGGUUUUGGUUCUCCCAAAAAAUAAAAACUAUCAAAGGAACACCUUACUUUGUCACGUUUGUUUUUAAAUAUUUGCACUCACUAGCAAAAAGUUGAGUGGUAUUUAAGAUCUUAAAUAGUAAUGGAAUUAUGUAAGCAAUCAAAAUACUAUUUUGCUGAUUAUUUUUGGAAAAAUUUGGACAUUUUUUCACCUGUUAUCUAAUUUGUACGUGGUAGAUGGGGAUGAAAUAGAAUGGCCUGUUAUACAACUCUUCAGAUCCAUGGUUUCUGGAGAUUUAGACUUUAUAUAUCCAUCCAAACAUCAAGAUAUCCGCGAUUUCAGUUAUAGAUCCGUUGAAAAUAUGAUAAUAAUAAAAUAUGAAAAUGUCUAAAAAAUUAUUAAAUAGUAUUUUCAAAAAUAAAAUCUGAUAUAUAGUAUAAAUAAUUUAAAUUCUAUGUGUUCUUAUAUAGAAAUAACAGAAUAUAUGUAAAUAUAUACUUAAAUUAUCUUUAAUAUAUUUAAUGAAUAUAGUUCCGACUAUCCGAAGCUGAAAAUUCGAAUAUCCGGGUUCGGUUUGAUGGAUCUAAGAUUUUAUAAGAAGUGAACCCUCUUUCAAAGUUUUCCAUUAAUAUUUUAUCUACUCUGAUUCUAUAUAUGUUAUGUAUUUGUGGUCAUUGCUAGGCAAAACAAACAAAAAAUGGAUAAAAGAUGGAGUCUUCAAAGUAUGACUGCUCUUGUAACCGGUGGAGCCAGCGGAAUCGGGUUCGUCUUUCUUCUCUCUAUAUCAUUUUUUUAACCAUUGUUUUGCUUGUUUAACAUGUGCUUUUUUUUUGUGGGAUACUUUAGGCAUGCCAUAGUAGAGGAACUAGCUGGUUUUGGGGCAAAAAUCCAUGUAUGUGACAUAUCAAAAACUCUCCUGGAUCAAAGUUUAUGUGAAUGGGAGAAGAAAGGAUUUCAAGUGAGUGGUUCGGUCUGUGAUGCAUCCAAUCGUCCCGAAAGAGAAACACUUAUGCAAACUGUUACCACGAUAUUCGAUGGCAAGCUUAACAUUCUUGUAAGUUAAUCUUAAUUUAAAGAACCCAAGAUUUAUCUUUAGACUAUGAAGAAAUGACAUGUAUAGUAGGAUAUAUCUUACUCUUUUCUGUUCAACAAAUGUGAACAACGUUGGCACAAUUCGCACAAAGCCAACAAUAGAAUAUGUGGCAGAAGAUUUCUCGUUCCAUAUUUCAACAAAUUUGGAGUCUGCUUAUCAUCUAAGCCAACUUUCACAUCCUCUUCUAAAGGCUUCAGGCUAUGGAAGCAUCGUCUUUAUAUCCUCUAUUGCAGGGAUUGUAUCAUUUGAUGCUGCAUCCAUUUAUGGUCUAACGAAAGGUAACUAGGGUUAAUUGCAAGACUGACUAAUCAAUAGAGAGAUUUUCUCCAUUAUACUAGACGAAAUAGUAUUGUGCAUUUAUGUAUAUAUACUAGAUUUUAACCCGCGGUAUACCGCGGGGCUAUAAUUUUUUUAAGAAAAUCAAAAUAUAAUUUUUUUUUUGGUCAGGGAUCAAAAUAUAAUUUAUUUAAUAGAUUAUUUAUAUAUAUAACCUAUUAUUUAGUAUUUUAAAAAUGUACAUAUAUAUAUAUAUAUAUAUUAUUAAGUGUACAGUUACAAUGUUUUAGAUAGCUUCAUCGGAUUAUAUAUAUAUAUAUAUAAAGAUUGACUCGUGGUAUACCGCAGGACUAUAUUUUAAAAAAUAGUGAAAUGUAAAUAAUUUGAAGUUUAUAUAUAGAUAUAAACGAUUAUAUUGUAUUUUUUAAAUACAUAUAUAGUGUAUGACCCGUAUAAUGAUUUAUAUACAUCUAUAUAUUUGCAAUCUAAACUAAAUCAGAAUCUAAUAUAUCAAAUCAGUAUGUUAGAAGAUUAUGCUACAAUUACAAUUGUUAUUAUAAUUUAAUUCUUUCUUUAAGUUUGUUGGUAUGAUUAUAUUGGUGGGAUUUUGUGUUGAUAAUGAAUUUGAUAAGUAAUUAGUUGAAAUAAGAUAUUUCAGAAUUUUAAUUCUAAAAAGAAACUGCGGAGAUUUUUUUAUGGAGAAAAAUCAUUAAUUUAUUUCUUAAAAUCGUUUAGUUAGAGAUAUUGGAAGAAAUUUUGGAUGUGAAAUUUUAAAAAGUAGUCGUGGAGUAAUUAUGGAGAGAUUUGUGGCAAUGUUUGUUUACUGGUAAAUCUUUUAUUUAAAUUUGGUGUAUUUAGUUGUAGAAAUCUUGGAAAAAACGAUUUUAGAAAGAAACUGUGGAAACUUUUUUGAGAGAUUUUUGGCAAUAUUGUUUGUUGAGUGCAAUAUUCUUUCCAUCUUUUAUUUGAUAUUUUUAAACAAAAAAAUUAAUUCCAGUGGCAUGACCUCGUAAAUACUUCUCAACUCUAGGAUUUAUUUGCUAAAUGUAUUCCAAAAAUAUAUAUAUAGAUGAACUUAUAUAUCUGAUUAGGAGAAUUUUUAAUUACGUUUAAUAUAUCUAAAUGAUGUUAAUUUGAUGCGGAAAAGCAGAAUUUAAUGUUGAGAGAUACAUUAAUAAAUUAUAUUAGUGUGGUAUGCAAAAUUCAUGAUUUUUCAACCCCAAAACCAGUUGGGAUGAUUCGAUUGACCAAACUGUCAAAAUAUAGGGUUUUCAAUCAUAUACUAUUUUAAACCUAUUUUUAAUUAGGUUGAUGAAUCAUAAAGCUUGUUCUAAAUGGUUCCUAAUUAAUCUUUCUCCAAAACACACUUCCAACGGCUUGAUAUAUAGUCCUAAUGUCACACGAUAAUAUAAAAGCUUUGUAUUUCUACAUUAGGUAAAAUUUUCUAUGGGAUUCGUAAUAAUCAUUAUAUUGUGUUUAUGUCCAGGAGCUUUGAAUCAGCUAGCAAGAAAUUUGGCAUGUGAAUGGGCAAAAGACGGCAUAAGAGCUAAUGCUGUUGCUCCUAAUUUUAUCCGCACUACUCUGGUUCAAGCUGUAAUCAAUACACCCUCACGCUUUUUCAUAUAUUUGUUCUUUUGCUGUUAACAUCAUCCACUUCUUAUUCUUGUUUUUUACAAUCUUGUAAACAAUCAGUUUCUCGAAGACGCCGGUUUCAACGAGAGUUUGUCCAGUAGAACUCCACUUGGUCGCGUUGGAGAACCAAGAGAGGUUGCAUCACUUGUGGCUUUUCUGUGUCUACCUGUAGCUUCAUAUAUUACUGGUCAGACCAUUUGUGUUGAUGGAGGUCUUACUGUUAAUGGCUUCUCCUACCAGCCACAGGCUUGAGCCGGGUCUUGUCUUGUGUGUUGGUGUCAUCAAGAAUGUCCAACUAUAUAUUCUCAUGUAAAAUAUUUUAUCGAAGCAAAACUUGUCUAAUUUGACUCGAAAAAUAAUAUGUUGCGUUGGCGAUACAAAUUAAUUACAUGAGAUCAAUCUAAGUACCCAAAAAUUAAUAAAUGUACUCUUUUUAUUCAUACCUAUAAAUAGUUACCUUUUGCCAAAAAAAAAACCCUAUAAAUAGUUACCUCUCGAAUUUCAAUAUGUACAUUCUAAACAUGUUACUAUCCUUAAUUUCAUUAUAUUCUGAAGAACAUCAUCACUUACAUCAUCUAUUCUCCCAUAUUAAUUUAAUGGAAGAGGUAUCAUAUUUACGUCAUCUUCACUUGCCCCAUUAAUAUUUAACACUAACCUAAUUCAUUUCUUAUGAUUACUUUGAUCUCUAAUUUGUCUCCCUCUUGUUGAUUGGUGAGAACCUCAGUCGAUGAGCAUACAUCGAGUAAUCAAUAUCUAUGAUCGGAUACCUAUAGUUUACAUAGUUCGAAUUGAGAUUUCAUUGUUCUAACACUCAUCCACAGCCUAAGUGGAAGAAUUGUAGAUGCUCAGGUUGAAGCGAAAUUUAAAAAGUGAAGAGGGCAGUAGGAAGGCUUUUGGAGGAUAUAUCAACAUAUUGGUGUUUGGAGGGAAAAUUAAGCACAUGAACCUGACCAAGAGAGACCUUUCUUAUUCUCCACAAACCCUAAUUCGAUGCAAUUUAAAUUUCCACCUUAAUUUUCUUCCAUCUUCCUCUAUAUAUGUAAUAUCUGUAAACUCAUGAUAUGUAAGUGUAAACUCAUAUAGAUGUUCCAAUUCGAGUUUCAUGUAAGUGAAAAAGAAAAAUGUCGCGCGUUAACCGGGCCUUGUGGCCUAGUGGUAAAGGGGUCACAGCUGUGACUUCCGCCACCAGAGUUCGAAGCACGACCACUGGCAGAUUUACAUAGGGAAUUGCCAGUCUCGUGGGAUUAGUCCUUGGGCCUAGGAAGCUUUUGGGAGAUCCGCGGUUAUUCAAAAAAAAGAAAAAUGUCGCGCAUUUGGUGUGAAUUAGACCACUUUUCUUUGCUCUAUAAUUAAACAGGAAAAAUUAGAAUCGAAAUAAAUAUUUCCCCAUUUUUUUUGUUUUUUGGUUUUAAAUAUAUAGUGACACGUGGGAUUUAACUCAACAGAAAAUAGGCAUGCGUCAUCUAUCUCAGUAUAAAUUCCAUAUGUUGCAUCUGAGUCAGUAAAAACUCAAGACUAACAACAUUUUGAUCAAUAUUAAUUUCGGCAUACAAUUUGAAAUUCAUGUCGAUUAUUUGAAAAUUUUGUUUGUUCAGAUUGAAAUACGCAUUAUGUAUUAGUUGGUGUAUAAAAACACAUCGCGCAUUUAAUUGAUGUCGCAAUUCAUUACUUUUCCGAAAAUGAGCACCAAAAGUAUGAAAGAAUCAUUUGCCUUUAUGUUACCUAAACACGUGAACAGUAGUAUUUUGUGAGUGAAGUUAAUGAAAUAAAUACAAAAUGGUAAGUUUAGGUCAAGAUUUUGACUAAUAAAAGUCAUUUUUGCUCUUGACCACUAGCUUCUAUAUUUUUGUCAUGUUCUUUAUUAAGGCUAAUAUCUCCACCACACAUUCAAACAUACUCAUUAAUUUACACUAAUCUUUUAUUUUUCUUUUGGUAAACAAUUGACACUUAUCUAAUACAUUGAAUAAUGUAUAUAUAAUAUGUAGUAUUUCUGGUCAUUGCAAGUAACGUACGAGGAAAAUGGAAAAGAGGUGGAGUCUCCAAGGUAUGACUGCUCUUGUGACUGGUGGAGCCAGCGGAAUCGGGUUUUUCUUUCUUCUCUCUAUGUCAAUUUUUUUACCCAUUGUUCUGUUUCUAUUAUACAUUCUAAAUGGUCAAAGUUUUAAGUUUAAGUUUAUGAAAUGUUUAGUUAUGCCGUAGUAGAGGAGUUAGCUGGCUUUGGAACUAGAAUCCAUGUAUGUGACAUCUCUGAAACUCUGCUGAAUAAAAGUUUAAGCGAAUGGGAAAAGAAAGGGUUUCAAGUAAGUGGUUCAGUCUGUGAUGCAUCCAAUCGCCUCGAAAGAGAAACACUUAUGAAAACUGUCACAACGAUAUUCGAUGGCAAGCUUAACAUUCUUGUAAGUUAAUCUUAAUUUAGAGAAACUAAGCUUAUUCUUUAGGCUAUUAAGAAAUGACAUGUCUAUAUAUAUAUAUAUAUAUAUAUAUAUAACGAUUUUUCUCGCUUUUUUUCUAUUCAAUAUAGGUGAAUAACGUUGGCACAAUUCGCACAAAGCCAACAAUAGAAUAUGAGGCAGACGAUUUCUCGUUCCAUAUUUCAACAAACUUGGAAUCUGCUUAUCAUCUAAGCCAACUUUCACAUCCCCUCCUAAAGGCUUCAGGCUAUGGAAGUAUUGUUUUUAUUUCCUCUGCUGCAGGGAUCGUAUCAUUUGAUGCUGCAUCCAUUUAUGGUCUAACGAAAGGUAACCAUGUUUAAUACUAGAGGCAUUCAUUGCAAGACUGAUUAAUCAAUGGAGGGAUUUUCCAUUGUACUUGACGCAAUAGUAUUGUGGAUUUAUAUAUGUUUCAUUAUGCAUAUAUAAAAUUUAUAUAUCUGAUUAGGAGAAUUUAUUACGUUUAAUUCAAAUAAUGUUUAGAAGAAAUUGUUUUUAUUUUAUUUUCAUGUGUAGCUAAAUUAAUGAAAUCUUAUUUUAGUAUGGUAUGCAAACACUUUUUGUUUCGGAAAUAUAUAAUUCAGACUGUCAAAUAUAGGGUUUCCAUUCAUAUUCAAUAACAUAUACAAACAAAACUAAUUUAUAGCUAUGUUAUUGGAUCAUAAAUCUUUUUCGUAUUAUUUAUAUGGUUCAUAACCUUUCUCCAAAAGUUACUUCCAAUGGCUAAUUGAUUGACCUAGUAUCAUUCAGUUCUAUUUGUAAAUUAGGUCUAAUUUUCUUUGGUAUUCGGUAUUCCUAAUAGAUGUCCCUCGUAGUCAUAGUGUAACUUUUUCUUGUUUGUAUAUAGGAGCUUUGAACCAGCUAGCAAGAAAUUUGGCAUGUGAAUGGGCAAAAGACGGCAUAAGAGCCAACGCUGUUGCUCCUAAUUUUAUCAACACUGCUCUUGCUCAAUCUGUAAUCAAUACACCCUCGUCCGAUCCUUUUUCAAUUUUUUUUUCCUUUACUAUUAACAUCAGCAUCCACUUCUUAUUCUUGUUUUUUAUUUGUAAACAAUCAGUUUCUCGAAGACGCCGGUUUUAACAAGAGUUUGUCAAGUAGAACUCCACUUGGUCGCGCUGGAGAACCAAGAGAGGUUGCAUCACUUGUGGCUUUUCUAUGUCUACCUGCUGCUUCAUAUAUUACUGGUCAGACCAUUUGUGUUGAUGGAGGUCUUACUGUUAAUGGCUUCUCCUAUCAGCCACAGGCUUGAUGAGCUGGGUCUUGUGUUGUGUGUUGGUCUCAUUAAGAACUUCCAACGAAAUAUUAUUAUAUUUGCAAUCCCCCGCACCGGUUACGAGUGAUAAACCAUCAUUAGUAUUAACAAUAAAUUUCUUUGGACUUCCGUACUCUGAGAAUAAUCGUUCACUUCAAAUGUGAUAUAGUCAGUAGCUCCAUAAUCAAGAAUCCAUAGAUAUGUGAGUUGAGGAUUAGGACACAAUUAUUUUCGAUAAUGCAUUUUCUAUUUACCCGUUCAGUAUUAUUCAUACAUUCUCCAAGAAAAUGCUUCUUAUAAGGAAUAUUAUAUGUGGAUCAGAAAAAUAUGAGGAUUGAAAUCAUUGAGCCGGGUGACCAUAAGUAUAAAACGACUCUCGGCAAUGAUUUCUGUCCAAAAGCAAUGAUCUAUCCUUGAAAUUCAUUCAACCUUGAAAAUACUUUACAUGACAUCUACUUCUUACAUAAAAGCCAAAGAGCAAGAAAAUCACAAGAUAUAUAAAAAAUAAAAAUAAAAAGUAAUUACAACAUACUAUAACGGCUACAAAUAAAAAGAACAUAGUUACACCUUCGCAAAUAUUCAGCAGAAAAUCGGUCAAUAGAAAGAAGCAAAGCACAAAUGAGAAUUUUAGAGUCAUACGAUUUGUUAACUUUGGAUAUUUGUAAAUGGGAUGAGCAAGAAACCUAAGAGAAAUAAAAUAAAAGAACCUAGCUAAUUAGAAGUAAAGCACUCAAAGAAUGAAAGAGACAUUGGGUUUGAUUGGUAACAGCUUUACAAAGCUGUACAAAACAUACAGUUUUAACAGUUACCAAUCACAAAAACUUUAUCAAAAGCGUUACAAACAGUUUUACUCUUAGCUUUUUUGUACAGCUUUCUUAUUAUUAGGGAUAAUAUUAUCCCACAUUGGAAAGGCCAAGGGAUCUUGACUAGUAUAUAAGAUAUAUGGAUCUCUCCAUUCAUUGCCAAUUGGUUUUGAGUUGGAAGCCCAUAUUCUAAUAUGGUAUCAGAGCCCGAUCCAUACAUGUCCAAAUCUAAUCCACCAUCGGCCCGGUCCAAUAGUUGGCCCGCCGAUCCAUGCCCGAGCAUACCGAGAUCAAUGGCUAGAGCCAUCAUCUCGAGGGGACGUAUUAGGGAUAAUAUUAUCCCACAUUGGAAAGGAUAAGGGAUCUUGACUAGUAUAUAAGAUAUAUGGAUCUCUCCACAGCUAAAAGAUUUGUACAGCUUUUGGUUACCAAUCAGAUCCAUUGUUUUUUUGUUACCUAACCAACACGUUGAAUGUUUUACCAAUUUUUGUUCACUAGUCUGACUGACUUGUCGUUUCAGUUGUCUUUUGUGAAUGAAAUUAAUGAAAAAAAGACAAAAAAAUGAGUAAGUUUAGGUCAACAUUUUGACUAUUAAAAGUCAUUAAUUUCUGCUAUUGACCACUAACAUAUAUUUUUGUCAUGUUCGUUACUAUGGCAUAUACAAACAUACUGACUUAUUGACCCUUAUCUUUUCUUUUCAUGGUAAGAAAAUUGACACUUACCUUAUAUAUAAAUCAUUUUUGGUCAUUGCAAGUAACAUUCAAGGAAAAUGGACAAAAGAUGGAGUCUCCAAGGUAUGACUGCCCUUGUGACCGGUGGAGCCAGCGGAAUCGGGUUCGUCUUUCUUCUCUGUUUUCUCUAUAUCAGCUGUUUUACCCAUUGGUCUGACUCUGUUUUAACAUUCUAUAAGGUCAAAGAUUUUAAGGAAUUUAUGUUUGUGGAAUGUUUUAGUUAUGCCAUAGUAGAGGAGUUAGCUAGUUUUGGAGCCAGAAUCCAUGUAUGUGACAUCUCUGAAACUCUGCUUAAUCAAAGUUUAAGUGAAUGGGAAAAGAAAGGGUUUCAAGUGAGUGGUUCAAUCUGUGAUGUAGCCUCUCGCCCCGAGAGAGAAAAACUGAUGCAAACCGUCUCUUCGCAGUUCGAUGGCAAACUCAACAUUCUUGUAAGUAAAUUGCUUUUUAAAGAUACUAAUCAAGUGAAGCAUAUUCAUGAGGGAAAUCUUUUAAAGACACAUUUGUUCAACAUUCUUAGGUAAACAAUGUGGGCGUAAUCCGCUCAAAGCCAACAACAGAAUAUACGGAAGACGAUUUCGCUUUGCAUAUAUCAACAAACGUGGAAGCUGCUUACCAUUUUAGCCAGCUUUCACAUCCUCUGCUAAAGGCUUCAGGCUAUGGAAGCAUCAUCUUUGUUUCCUCUAUUGCUGGGGUUACAUCUUUUGACGCUGGAUCAAUUUAUGGUCUAACAAAAGGUAACAAGAGACAGAGUUACUACUAGAUGCAUAGUAUUCAUUGCAAGACUGACUAAUGUCAUUUUAUUUUUCAUGUUUUGUUGAUUUAUUUUACAGGAGCUUUGAUUCAGCUAGCUAAAAAUUUGGCAUGUGAGUGGGCAAAAGACGGCAUAAGAGCCAACGCUGUUGCGCCUAAUGUCAUCAAUACUCCUCUGUCUCAAUCUGUAAUAAAAUGACAACUUUUUUUUUCUGUGAAUUUAACAACCUCAAUUCCUCUAAUCAUGUCUCAAUUUUGUUUCUUUUAGUAUCUUGAUGUCGCCGGUUUCAGGGAGGCAUUGUUCAGUAGAACUCCACUUGGUCGCACUGGAGAGCCAAGAGAGGUUGCAUCACUUGUGGCUUUUCUUUGUCUACCUGCUGCUUCUUAUAUUACUGGUCAGACCAUUUGUGUUGAUGGAGGUCUCACUGUUAAUGGCUUCUCCUAUCAGCCAC
rnacentral:lncRNA from 1 species